AAUUCACGUGUUACCCGCAUCCCAAGAAUGAAGGCCCACCAGGCCCAAACAUGUCACUAUAAAUAUACAGGUGAUAUGACAUAAAUGAGGUACCCUCCCCACCAUUCGGAGUUAGUGAUUCAGUCGGCACGGAAGACUCAGAAAGACUGGAAGACAGCUAAGCAAGGAGUAAGGAGACAAGUGUUCUGCACCCGGAACA